rnacentral:rRNA from 1 species
CAGCAGCCGCGGUAAUACGUAGGGUGCGAGCGUUAAUCGGAAUUACUGGGCGUAAAGCGUGCGCAGGCGGUUUGUUAAGACAGAUGUGAAAUCCCCGGGCUCAACCUGGGAACUGCAUUUGUGACUGGCAGGCUAGAGUAUGGCAGAGGGGGGUAGAAUUCCACGUGUAGCAGUGAAAUGCGUAGAGAUGUGGAGGAAUACCGAUGGCGAAGGCAGCCCCCUGGGCCAAUACUGACGCUCAUGCACGAAAGCGUGGGGAGCAAACAGGAUUAGAUACCCUGGUAGUCCACGCCCUAAACGAUGUCAACUAGUUGUUGGGGAUUCAUUUCCUUAGUAACGUAGCUAACGCGUGAAGUUGACCGCCUGGGGAGUACGGUCGCAAGAUUAAAACUCAAAGGAAUUGAC